AUAAUCCUUGUUCAUACAAACGAAUUACAGAAUAGUGACAACCGAAAUAACACUUGUUCAUAACACUUAUUCAUACAAACGAAUUAACACUUGUUCAUAAGAACCAAAAUAAGAGAGAGUACAAAACAACCGAGAUAACAGAAAUUACAUAAGCGAAGAACACUUGUUCAUAUCAUUGUUGUUUCAAGGACCACAACCCAUCAGCGACCCAAGCUCUGAAUUGAUUCAUAGCAGCACUGUCCAUCUCAUUUGUUGAAUCAUUUCUUGUAGUCGUUGGCAUAGCCCAACUCCGGAAGACGUCGACGUUGCUGUUGAGAUCCAAGAAACCCAUUUCCCUCCCGAGAUUUUCG
rnacentral:lncRNA from 1 species